UAACAAUAUGGAACAGUAGUUAUAGUCCUUUCUGCCUUUUUGCUUUCAUCUUUUUGAUUGUGUGUUAUUGGAUGAGGUAUCUGCUGCAGUGCCCAUUUCCAGUUCAGGCACAGCAGGCACAUCAGAACUUAGGACUGACAAAUCCAGCAGUAAUGAAGCAAUAACCGUUCCGAAAGAAGUGAUAUCUUGGUUGGGUACUCUACAACAGAAGGUGAC